GGGCGGGGUAUAAAUCCAAUCUCCUCCUCCUCCUCCUCCUCUUCUUCUUCUGUGCUUCCCUCUUGCCAUGGCUGGACAAAACGGAUCUUGGUGUGACAUUGCAUGGCCGUCCCAUGGUUCCUGAUCCAGUUUAGUUACAGAGCUUGCUUUUCUGAAUUCCACUUUGUGAAUCAAGGCUGUCUUAUUCUGGGGGCUUGUUCCCCAGAAGUCCUGUGUCAAGGCUUCCAGGGCACGGCAUGCUGAACACGUGAUGCCAGAGCUGAUGAUCAUUCACACAGCCUAUCUCUAUAAGGUAUUGCUGUGUGAAUCUGCACCGUGUAGGUUGACCACCAAAGGUUACUCUUUUAGGCUGUAAGGUGGCAAAAAGGAAUUCACCCCACAAAACGCAGGAUUUGAAAGGUUUCUUCCUUUUUGCAGUCCCACGAGCACCCUUUUUUACAUCUCCGAACGACGUUAUCAACAGAAAGUCAGGUUCAGCACUGUUGUUGGUUCCAUUUUAUGCCUAUAGAUCUGGUUGAUAUGAUCCCCUUUCUUGCUUCUGUUGAAAAAUAAAACACAUCUUCCCCUA